rnacentral:lncRNA from 10 species
AUAGACAUGUUCCCCUUUGAGCAACACAAUUUUCUAACAGCCAAUAGGAAAUAACAGUUCGAAAAUUUAUCCUAAAAUUUACUAAACUUUUAAAGGCUAUGUGGAAUUAAUGCAUUAUCAAGCAAGAGUAGAUAAUUGGAAGCUACCCUUUCCUAUUAUACAGUUCUUGGAAUCAAGAGUUACUUACAGUAACUGAUAGGAUGUGAAAAUAAGACUAUAGAAUCAGCACAAAGGCCAGGUGCGGUGGCUCUCGCCUGUAAUCCCAACACUUUGGGAGGCCGAGGCAGGCAUGACCCACCAGGCUCGGCUGAAUUACGGUUUUAAUUUUUAUCUUUGUAAUUUAUUUAAACAUUCCUUUAUUCCUGCUUGCUUUUCUAUGUAUUUUUACACUGUUGA